rnacentral:snRNA from 13 species
AAACUUACCUGGCACCGGGUUCAGGGUGAUCAGGAAUGCUCUGACCCCGAGUGGAGGCUCACCAUUGCACCUCGGUGGGUUGAAACUCGCGACGAACCCUAACCGGAUGCGCUGGGGCGUGUAGUUUUGCUUUCUAAUUUUCAUUUUACAGUACUUUUGU